rnacentral:rRNA from 1 species
GCUUGCCACUUUGUGGUUCAUGACUGGGGUGAAGUCGUAACAAGGUAGCGCUAGGGGAACCUGGCGCUGGAUCACCUCCUUACACGA